AUCCAGCUGACGAGUCCCAAACAGGACGAAAUGCCUAUCUUGUAU
rnacentral:hammerhead_ribozyme from 1 species